UGAGCUAGGGAAUUCUACAGACCUGUAAACAUCUUUCCUGACCUUGACAACAAGCUAUUUCAGAGGUGUACAGUGGCAUUUCAGUUAUUACCGGUGAGACAGGGAGAGAGAGAGAAAGAAAGCAAACUAUUACAAGGAAGAGGACAUCAGUGCUAUUUGUUUUAUCAACAAAACAAACCUCGGUUUGUAGCUACAAAGCUAAAUGUUUGGCAGUAGCGCUACCGGUAAGACUGCCAAGAAAAUAAACCCUGAUAAAAUGCUGCCAUAAAACAGCAGAGGAACAUCUGUGGAGGACUAAAGUUCUUUCCUGACUAUCCUAAGCAGAUACAGCUCUGAGGAACCACACAGAAAACAUUUUAAAGCCGUUUUUAGAGUUACACCACAUUCCUAGGCAUGUCUACUUUUCUAUAGCAGGGCAGAUAAUGAAGAUUCUCCCUUGCAUGGACUAGAUGACCCCGGGGUCUCUUCUAACUGCACAAUUCUGUGAUUCUAUUAUAUACUGUACAAUAGAGCAUAUACUGUCUCACUACCAGAGCAAUCUUGAAGUCAACAAUUAAUCAUGAAAAGAAGACAAAUGGAGCUUCAGCAUUUUUAUUCCUUUUCUUUAUUGUUUAAGAAUAAAGA